AUCCAUUGCUUCAGAGCCUCUCUUCCAGUUCCUAUUUCCACUGUAUAGAGGAGCAUUUACUUGCUGAAGAUCUGAAACAGAGGCCAUGCAACCUGAGAAACACAGCACAGAGUGAUUAGUGCAACUUUCAUAUCUCAUCAGGGAAGAUUCUUCAUGCAAAUGCAAAUGACAGUUAUUCUAGACUCAAAACUGGUGAAAAUGCAGAGAAUAAUUCACCAUAGAGUGUUGUGCCUGAAAGGAUCACACCUCAUCUCCCAAAGGCUCAGGACAGUGAAGAGAUGUUUGUCCUUAGAAGGGCUCCCACGAGACCCAGGGUACUGCCAGUCCAGGUUCAGUCCAUCAAACCCAUACUGGCGCAGGAAUUUGAUGGCUGAGUUAAUGAAAGUCUGUUGGUUGUGUGGAGUGGAGACCAUGGCACUGAACCUGAGGGAGACCAAAAGAA